UAAAUUUUCUAACCAGCUCUUCUUUGGUCAUACCUCCGUGCUGGACCUGCUCCCUGAUGCGCUGGUGGGAAAUGGGAGAACCGUGUUCUGGAUCACAUUGUCAGGUUUUUCCUCUCCCCCUGUUGCGUCAUCCCAGAAUCCCAGAAUGGUUUGGGUUGGAAGGGACCUUAAAGAUCAUCUAGUUCCAACCCCCCAGGGCAGGGACACCUCCCACCAGACCAGGCUGCUCCAAGCCCCAUCCAGCCUGGCCUUGAACCCCUCCAGGGAUGGGGCAUCCACAGCUUCUCUGCGCAACCUGUUCCAGUGUCUCACCACCCUCACAGGAAAGAAUUUCCUCCUGAUACCUAAUCUAAAUCUACCCUCUUUCAGUUUGAGGCCGUUACCCCGUGUCCUAUCAUUACAUUCCCAGCCCAGAUAUCAAUACCAGUGUGUCCACCCAACGUUGGACAUUAACUCCCCCAGCAGUUCUGCUCAGUGGGUAUUUCAGUCCGGCUUCUGGCAAAUCCUUUGGGAUUUUGUGUCUCCUCCUUCCCAAGAAGUGUCCCUGUGCUAACCAGGGGAAUUUUUAUCUGCACUUUUAUUUUGUACGGUACACUAGAGAGCAGCAUGUUAGAGGGUUGUUUUAAUGCUGAAGAAAAGCGGGCCCUGAAAAGAUCUUGGUUUAUUUUCCCAGUUCCUGUGGGAAAAUAUAAAGGCUUUUUAUCUAUCACUGAACUAGGCAGUGGCUGACAAAUAGUUUCCUGUUUGGGGGAAUGGAGAUAUAUGUACCCACUUGCUUUCCAUACGCGUUACUGACUGAGCUACCAAGUGACAAGCACAGGUUUUCCAUUCUGCCUACAUGCUGAAAUUUGAAUUUUCAAUCCUCUCCUUCACUUCAGGUUAAUUAAUCCAAUUUAAGUGAAUUCAGUCAACCGCUCUACACUUUCUCCAAGCAAGAUAAAAUGCAACAAUGUGUGGCUCAUGCCUGUUUACAAGAUUUUUGAUAUAGGUGUAAAUUAUAAAUUUCCAUGUUUCUCUGCUUUGUUUUACCAGCUACACAUCAGAGAUAUCCAAGAAUUUUCUGGAAGAGCAAACUCCUUAAUUUUUCACAGGCUCUGUGACUCUAGAGCCCUUGUAUCAUUGGCUUGCUCUGGUUUUUCAUUGAACGAAAAGAACCAAAAUCAAAUUUGGAAAGGAUACUGAUCACCCAAAUGACUCUGAAAGCAUUCUUCCAUGGGUAUAGCUAAAGGAGCUUACGGUAUAAUGCAAGGAAAGAGAGUUCAGCAGAGGCAGGGUCUAAAGAAAAUGCACAGAAAGUUGGGAUUAGCAGUGUUUGGCCACAUUUUCACAAAACCCAAACAAAUCUAGGUUUGUAAAUAUGCCAAAUAGCUGUAUCUUCCUCAUGGAAGUUAGUCAUUGUUUUUGAGUGCUGAGAAGUGAAAUUCCAACUCGGAUACAGUGGUGCAGAACUAUUUUCAGCGUGUUUACGGAGCCCUGCCUGUGCGUUGGGACAAGAAGGACAACGCAAAGUCAGUCUCCUUUCUGCCGGUGGUGUUCCUUGUGCCCCGGAAAACUGCCCACGUUGGGCAACCCCUGGAGCUUGUUCUUCAGAAAACUCCUCUGAAUUUGAUUCCUUCCUGUGCCAGCGGAUAUCCUUUCGACCAAGAAAAAUGUUCUGCCAUCCCUAAACUAUUUACUUGCAAGAUGGAGCAGCCAAGUGGGUCUGUUUGCAUAAGUCCGCUUCUUUAUAGCCAGAGGCUGUUUGCUUACCUCCCAGUCAGGAUGGCUGCUUCUCGUCUGGUCUCUACCCUGUUUGUUUUGUUUUACUCGUAGCCCUGCUACACAUCAGAAUUUCCAUGAGUUCAGCUCUGAAUCACUUGAAUACACAAACCUUUCCAGCUGUAGUGCACAGGGAAGGUCAAUGCUAUAACUGAAAAUAAAUGAAUUUGGCAUAGGUGCCUGUGUCUCAGGCUCUGCAUGGGCGCAGGCAUCUCUGGUGAGGGUGGCUGGGGUGCUGGCUGGGUGGGAACCAAGGGCAGGUAAGCGUGUUCAAUGGAGCAAGUUCUUCUUCAUAUUGAUGUUAGUGGAACCCGAACUAUGACGCUGUGCUUGCCAUAUAGGUAGCGAGCGGCUAAUUCUCUAGAAAGUUGGUAACAACAAUCAAAUCUGCACAGCUGUGGGUAUUUUCUGUGCAUGGUGUUUAUUUGAUUGCUUUUUUCCUCAGACUCUCUUCGCCCAAUACACUUGUACUCAAAACAUUUCAGUUGGUCAGCGCAGACCUAUGAAAUUACAAGUUAGUUGGUUCUAACAUUCAAACACGUCAUGUUCCAAGGACAUACGUGCAUCUCUGUUUUUAAACAGCCUGUCUUUGGCUGAAACAGUGGCGAUUCUUCAUGAGGAAACCUAGAGGAAAUAAGCAGAAUAGAAAAAUCCUGGGAAAUAAGAAGCAGUACUGCUCUGCUUUUCAUCCCUGUUGCCUACUUCUGGACAUUGGUUAGAUUAGGAUUUCAGUAAACCUAAAAGACAGGAGAUCAGGAAGAAAAUAAAAUACAUCCACAAUCCACUCUCACAUUAAUGGAACAAUACCCUGAAAGGGAAAUCCUGCCAAUAGUUGCCUCUGUGCUUUUUGCAAGAUGGUGAUAAAAAAAAAGCAAAAGAAAUCUCUUCAUUUUCAAGAUAGCUUCACAAAGAAAGCAACCAGACAUGGAGCCAUCUUCCACCCUUCACUGCCAGCGGCUGUUGCGUGUGAUGUCCUUGGAUGCCCAAAAGAUUAGGCAGUCUCAUCCACCUGGCCCAUGUAACAGGGAUCAAAGACAUUGCUCCAUCUACAAACUUAAGCUCACGCUCUCUGAAAAUGAAGAGGACAAAUUGAAAGUUAUAGUCUGAGAAAGUUAAUAGGCACAUCUGGCUCUUGAGGGGGGCAAAAUUGUGGACCAGUCCUCUCAUGUGGCAAUGCAUUAUGAGCAACAGAAAAGGUUCUUCUACUCUGGUAUUUUUCACAGUUCAGCUUCAGUCAUCAGCCUGCACCAUAUUGACCACUCCGGUUUGCUGCAUCGCUUGCACCAUGGCACUUCUCAACAUCCGGAAGAACUCAAUACUUCUGCUAUAAAGAAUGUGGACGUAAAGACCAGCCUGCAUGUUUGUGUCCCUGAAUUACUUCCACUUGAGGAGAAAGCUGUGUACUAUUGGAUAAGGUCCUGAAACAUAAUUUAAAAGCAUCAGCAGCAGAGAAAAACACCCUGAAGUGGGGGAAGGAUACGCUUCUUGAACAUUAUUCAUUUGAAUCACGGAGCUAUAUAGAAGCAGGUAUUGGUAUGAUGCAGGCGAUGUGUGACAGAGUACCAAACGGACAUUCUUGAAGGCAGCUCCAUCUUCCCUAAGACAUCACUAUUCUCUUAGUAGGCCAUAUCUUUUUAGGGAAUCGCUCAGCAUGUCUAUGAGCUUUCCCAGUCCUAAAUUCUUUUAAGCUGCUUAUUUCUUCUGGAGUGAAAACUGGAGACAGGGUAGCCCCUGAGUUGCUGUGAAGGCAUCGGAGCAACAUUCCUCACUUUUAGGGGACUGGUGUGGUGGCAUGCAGGAAUCUAAUGUUCCAUGCGAUUUAUGAUUUUCCACUUUACUGAAGAAAUAAUUCUGUUUGUUUGUAGGUUUAUGAACUUGCAGUCUUGAAUGCACAGUACUACAAGUCACGAAUGAUUUCAUCUGUCGGCUGUUCUGUCUUAAAUGAAGAAAUAUUAUUUAUU